UAUUCGUAGAGACACUGAAACUUUCGCAGCUCGUUGGAAAUUAUUGGUGUGUCGAAGAUUUCGCAACAUCCUGUUUCCAUGGAGGACCCUGUACGAAUUUCUCGACUAGUCGAUCGCGUAAACAGGUGUUUUAAUGCAGGUGUUACUUCAAGUAGGAAGAACUAUAUUUAUCGCGAUGCUUAUCACAAUUAACUGGCAAGAUAGCGACAAUCGUUUAUGCAACAACUUCGUAACAAUUCAGUCAACGAACAUUUUUACUCGCGUCUACUUUACUCAGAGUUCCGUCCAAUUUCCGAACGUUAUACUCGCAAGUAUAAUGCAAUUAUUACUAUGCAAUACACAUACGUGUAAACUGCCGAUGGAUAUUUGUCCAGGAGAGCACCUUCGAAGGCUUCGUAAAUACCAGAAUCCCGUAGCUUUUCCAAAUUGCCACCCUGAGCCACAGAUGAGAAAUAUUGCGAAUAUCUGGCAAAGUAGUCGUCGUAAAAGGUUUCCGCUUCGCUGGACAUCGACUGCUUCAUCGUCUUGAAGUGUUCAUCUUGUCGUGCCAAUAUGUUACUCUCCGUAACGAAUGAACCUACGAGACGCAUAAGUUCACGUGUAAAAGUCUUAGUCUUCUAAAAUUUCUAGAAAUAACCAAUAACAGAAAAAUUGAAGGAAGAUACUUUUUUGAACAAAGCAAACGACUUUGACACCGUACUUCUUCAACUCCACUCUAAUGGCAGAGGCCCAAGCGCUGAGAGCAGCCUUGGUCCCGCUGUAAGCCGCUACACCAGGAAUCGGCUGCUCGUUACAGUGGCUCGAGACUACGAUAAUCCGGCUAAAGUGGGCGCGGAUCAACGGCAUCAGUUCUCUAGUAAUUCUCAUGGUACCCAGCAAGUUCACUUCCACUUGAUUCCUCAGCUGCUCGUCCGUUUGCCAUUCAAAUUCACCGAAGAUCAUCACAGCCGCGUUAUUGAUCAAACAUCGUAACGCUGAAACCGAUGUUCCAUUUAUUAGCGUUGGAAUGCGCUAAUUCGCCGCAACCACAGCCUUGAGAUCGUGAAAAAUGAUUUACUUAAAUUCCUUUCCGUCAAAAUCGUUCGAACGGAGUUGGCGAAAUUUUCAACGCUAUUAACCAGCGUGAUGUCCAGAGGGUAAACGAGUACGCCUUCGCUUUCCAGUCGCUUAGCCCCAGGACAACCCAUUUGCAAUACACCGGCAAUUACAGUUGCUCCAAGUUCCCGACAAUGCAGAGCCAGACUGUAUCCUAAUCCCGAGCCGCAGCCAGUAAUAACAAUCGCAUGGUUCGAGGAUAUUUUCGCUCGAGAUCUUAGGCGACAGUAUAGAAUAUCAUGAUCGCACAGAAUCGUUGCUGCGUAUUCUUGCUGAUGGCGCAUUUUGAUAAACGCAGCCCACCGGUAAGUAGAUAAAAAGAUAAUAAUAAAAUGAACGCACGUGUUUAUAAUUCAAAGAUCCGUUUGAUAUACGUUUCAUUAUAUAGUAUAUAUCACUAUCUCUUUUAUUCAUUUACUUCUUAUAAAAAAUUUAUACACUAUUAAUAAAAAUCGAGUGAUUGCUAGAUUGUUAUUGUGUUCUUACCAA